rnacentral:rRNA from 1 species
UUUCCCUACGGGGCGCAGCAGUAGGGAAUCUUCCACAAUGGGCGAAAGCCUGAUGGAGCAACGCCGCGUGGGUGAAGAAGGUCUUCGGAUCGUAAAGCUCUGUUGUUGGUGAAGAAGGAUAUAGGUAGUAACUGGCCUAUAUUUGACGGUAAUCAACCAGAAAGUCACGGCUAACUACGUGCCAGCAGCCGCGGUAAUACGUAGGUGGCAAGCGUUGUCCGGAUUUAUUGGGCGUAAAGCGAGCGCAGGCGGAGAAAUAAGUCUGAUGUGAAAGCCCACGGCUCAACCGUGGAACUGCAUCGGAA